rnacentral:miRNA from 1 species
UGGAAUGGUGCAUUUUUUUAUGCCAAUACAUUUUAAAAGACCUGGUCUUUUAAAAUGUAUUGGCAUAAAAAAAUGCACCAUUCCAUGG